rnacentral:rRNA from 1 species
UGGGGAAUAUUGCACAAUGGGCGCAAGCAUGAUGCAGCCAUGCCGCGUGUAUGAAGAAGGCCUUCGGGCUGUAAAGUACUUUCAGCGGGGAGGAAGGAGUUGAGGUUAAUAACCUCAGCAAUUGACGUUACCCGCAGAAGAAGCACCGGCUAACUCCGUGCCAGCAGCAGCGGUAAUACGGAGGGUGCAAGCGUUAAUCGGAAUUACUGGGCGUAAAGCGCACGCAGGCGGUCUGUCAAGUCGGAUGUGAAAUCCCCGGGCUCAACCUGGGAACUGCAUUCGAAACUGGCAGGCUAGAGUCUUGUAGAGGGGGGUAGAAUUCCAGGUGUAGCGGUGAAAUGCGUAGAGAUCUGGAGGAAUACCGGUGGCGAAGGCGGCCCCCUGGACAAAGACUGACGCUCAGGUGCGAAAGCGUGGGGAGCAAACA